rnacentral:lncRNA from 1 species
GCCAUUGAAGAAUUACCUGAAUCCAUUGGUUCUUUGAAUGAGCUCAAGACUUUAGAUGCCUCUUAUUGCAAAUCGUUAGCCCGCAUACCUAACUCAAUAGGCAAUUCAACAUCUCUGUCUUGCCUUGACCUAACGGAAUGCCAUAAACUUGCUCAACUUCCAGACUCUAUAGGCUUCCUCGUGUAUCUACCACGGUUGUUAUUGUCGGGAUGCCACUCAUUGAGACAAAUCCCAGACUUGAUCGGAAAGUUGACAUCAUUGAUAGAGCUGCAUUUGAAAUCUACGGCCAUUGAAGAAUUACCUGAAUCCAUCGGUUCUUUGAAGGAGCUCAAGAUUCUAGAUGCCUCUUAUUGCAAAUCGUUAGCCCACAUACCCAACUCAAUAGGCAAUUUAACAUCUCUGUCUCACCUUGACCUAAAUGAAUGCCAAAAACUUGCUCAACUUCCAGACUCCAUAGGCUCCCUUGUGUGCUUGCCGCGGUUGUUAUUGUCGGGAUGCCACUUGUUGAAACAAAUUCCAGACUCGAUCGGAAAGUUGACAUCAUUGACUGAGCUACAUUUGAAAUGUACGGCCAUUGAAGAAUUACCUGAAUCUAUUGGUUCUUUGAAGGAGCUCAAGACUCUAGAUGCCUCUUAUUGCAAAUCGUUAGCCCAUAUACCCAACUCAAUAGGCAAUUUAACAUCUUUGUCUUCCCUUGACCUGAAUGAAUGCCAAAAACUUGCUCAACUUCCAGACUCCAUAGGCUCCCUCGUGUCCUUGUUGCGGUUGUUAUUAUCGGGAUGCCAUUCGUUGAAACAAAUUCCAGACUCGAUCGGAAAGUUGACAUUAUUGAUUGAGUUACAUUUGAAAUCUACGCCAUUGAAGAAUUACCUAAAAGCAUUAANNNNNNNNNNNNNNNNNNNNNNNNNNNNNNNNNNNNNNNNNNNNNNNNNNNNNNNNNNNNNNNNNNNNNNNNNNNNNNNNNNNNNNNNNNNNNNNNNNNNNNNNNNNNNNNNNNNNNNNNNNNNNNNNNNNNNNNNNNNNNNNNNNNNNNNNNNNNNNNNNNNNNNNNNNNNNNNNNNNNNNNNNNNNNNNNNNNNNNNNNNNNNNNNNNNNNNNNNNNNNNNNNNNNNNNNCAAUCCUGCAUUCCUGAAUUUUUCUCACUAAACUUUCUCAAGAGACUCACUCUUUCUAACUGGCUUAAAUGUCUCUCAAACCUUUCUAUAACAUGUUAUAGAAAAGCUAUGAAACUUGAUUUUGUAUCUUACAAAAGUUCGAGCUGUUAGUUGGGCAUUUUAUUUACCUUUUGUCUUGUGAUACAGUUCUCUUAAAGCGUUUCAAGACUCCUCCUGCCAACAACUUAGCCAUGGACUACCAAACAACAGAUGAACAUCCUUUGAAGAGAUCAAAACCUUUUGGAAUCUCAAAUGAAGUACUUAUUUCAUUUUGCUUUUUCUUUGCCGUUCUUCAGUUAUUAAAGGAUGGUUCCAUCUACAAAGAGAAGUAUUUUACUGAAUGAUCAAUUAUUUGUUAUGUGUGGAAUGCUUUGAUCAACAUUCGUAACUAGAUCCAUCAAACUUGUUACAUUCUCGCUAUUUUAAGUCUUUUGUUCUGGAAGUAGGGAUUUUAGUUUUCUUGAAUUAUGAAGUUAAGGUGGAAUAUAUUGCCCGUUCUCUUGUGUUUCUCUCUCUUAAUUAUCUUUAUUUGCACGCCAUUGAUCGAAAACUUUUUGAAAGCGCACUCAUUUGGGUGCUAUUGCGGCAUAUGAUCAUGCAUUGAGAAUCUUCACGAGUGUAGGGGUUAUCUCACAUCAGUUGUGGAAGGAAAAAGUAGUUAGUUUAUAAUUGUGAUGGAAAGUCUCAUCCUUUAAGUUAGCUUUUAAGAUGAGAUAAGCCCAAGACCACCCAACAAAAAAAAACUUUUAGUUUUGAGGUUUCUAGAUACCCUUAAUCUUCAUGAUGUUAACCUAAUGAAAUUAUUGAAGAUUGGAAGGAUAACAAGAAAGUUUGAUGGAGAGAGAAAGGAGCAAAAGGGCUAGGGUUGUCAAUUUGUGUCCUCUUGUCAUAAUUGUGUUUGUGAUUGUGUCAAUUCAUCAUGACUUCUAUUAGACAUGUCAACCCAUUGAAUUAGAUGAAAACAUGUAAAUAUCUCAUCAAGUUAAAUGUAUCGUGAUGUGUCAUAUUGGGUUGUGUUUGUGUUUUUCGUGUUUGGUAUUGUUAUGUAAACAGUAUGUGUCACUAUUGGCAGCAUUAAUGAGAAGCGUGGACUGGAUAGGUGUUGAUUAUGUCUCCUCCCAUCAUGCAUGCAUUGUGCUCACGUAUGCUAGUACAAGAGGGGCUCUCAUAUGAGUCUUUUGCAUCUUUUGAGUGCCAUGGUUUUGAUCAAUUUUCUAAAGGACUCAUUAGUUUUGUAAUCUUCAUGACUUUCUAAUAGGUGAAUAAUUUGCCGGGAAAGAUUUUUCCCAUUACAUACAACUACCAGAGCUUUGGUCAGAGUUCUUAUUCUUCAGAUGACUUGCCUAGAAAUGUAGUCGUUACCCUAAGUCAUGAUUCACUUGUUAAAAGUAUGGAUUUCCAUCCAGUGCAACAAAUUCUACUGCUCGGUUAGCACUUCUUUCUUACUCUAUGAAGAACUUGUUUCUUGAUCUUCUUUAGUUGGAUAUACUUGUUGGCCAUAAGUUUGUGUUUUGGUGCUUGGAAGAUUCCUGUUUGUUGUUUUUUAUGCUCGCUUCAGCUAUUUGAAACCAAGGGAUAUGAUUCUUCAAAUUUUCUGCAUCAAUAAUUUUUAGUGGGAACAAAUACGGGUGAUGUCAUGGUAUGGGAAGUAAGCAACCGUGCAAGGAUUGCUUUGAGAAAAUUCAAGGUUUGGAAUUUGGGAACACGUUCAAUGGCGUUGCAGGUAUAUAAGUUCCACUCUAAAUAAAGUCAUGUAUCUUGUUUUUGGACAUGUAAUUGGGGGUUUUGAUUCUUUGUAGGCUUCUCUAGCCAAUGACUAUACAGCAUCCAUUAAUCGUGUAACGUGGAGUCCUAAUGGACUUUAUUUUGGUAUGUACAGAUGUCACUUCUACUUGUCUUAUUGCAAAUUGAUGAAACAACUAACGCGCUGAGAAUGAGACUUCAUUGCAAUAUUUUCAGGAAAAAUGUUCAUAUGCUGCUAUUACUGAUGAUUUGUGGUGUUCACUUUAGGUGUUGCUUAUUCCAAACACAUGGUGCACAUAUACUCGUAUUACGGUGGUGAUGACAUGAGGAACCACCUUGAGGUUUGUUGCUAAACAAGGAGUGAAAAAAUUCGGCUUCUUUUUGUAGACAAUUGCCACAUAAAAGUGAGUAAAACUUGAUUUUGACUCUAAACUAAUGUUUGAUACAGCUCGAGGCUCAUGCUGGAAGUGUUAAUGAUCUUGCCUUUUCAUAUCCAAACAAAUGGUUAUGCGUUGUGACCUGUGGAGAGGACAGGUCAAUCAAGGUAUAUCUUGAUUAUUUUCCUCAGUGUUGCAGCGUUCCAUCGUUUGAUCCCUUAACUAAGCUAGUAGUUUUGUAGGUAUGGGAUGUAAUGACUGGGGCUAAGCAAUACUGUUUCAAGGGUCAUGAAGCACCUGUAUAUUCUAUUUGUCCACACCAUAAAGAAAAUAUCCAGGUACUUGAUUAUUUCACGUACUAACAAAGACACCCUGCGAGCAUGGCCAAUCAGAUGUACCCUUGACUAUACACUAGACUUUUGUUUUCUAAAACUCAGUUAGGUAAAAAAAAAAUUGGUUCAAUUUGUAUGAGGAGUAUGAACCUAUGUUUUGAAGGACCUUGUUCAUUUCAAGGGUUUUGCAAGUCUUCCGACUUUUAACCUGUCUUGAUUAGAAUGUGCUUGUCAAACAUGGUGAAAUUGGUCCAAAGAUCAACCUACUAAUUUGAUUCUUUCAAGUAAUGCUACUAAGCAUCGACAACUAGGUAAAGGUCUUUGCAAUAAUGACUUCCUGCUUAAUUAUAUAUUCAAAAAGAAAAUUCCUCUACUACCAUUGAUUGUUCUCCCUUAGUUUUCUCUUUUAGUCACGAUUGGUUAAAUUUAUAAUAGAAGGCUGUUUAUUGUGUUUGAGUGGAGCAGCAAUUGGCAAUGUUAUCUUCUUCUUCUUCUUCUUUUUAAACAUUUAUGGUUGUGCAUAGUGUACACUUUAUUACAAAGAUGUCUUAUGAAAUCUCAUCAUUCUAGGAUGCUAUGUUUAAAUAAUUAUAGUUUAAGUGGAUGUGCUCUAUUUGGGCAUGUUACUGAAAUUGGUUAUACAAUUGUUUUAUCGUGUAGUUCAUCUUCUCAAUAGCAACAGAUGGGAAAAUUAAGGCUUGGCUUUAUGACAACAUAGGGUCAAGAAUUGACAACGAUGCACCGGGUCACUCUUCUACCGUGAUGGCAUACAACGCCGAUGGAAAAAGGUUUAGACCAUCAGCAUUGUAUAUCAAGCUUGAUUUCAUCCCGAGUCUUUCUUUUUCACUGAAAUAACCUAUUUUAGCGAUUUUAAUUUGCUAUAGGUUGUUCUCGUGUGGGACCAAUAAAGAAGGAGAGUCAUACUUGGUUGAAUGGAAUGAAAGUGAGGGGGGUAUCAAGCGUACAUAUCAUGGACUUGGAAAGAGUUCUAGUGGGGUUGUGCAGUUUGAUACCAUCAAAAAUAGAUUUUUGGCUACUGGUGACGAGUUCAUUAACAAAUUUUGGGAUAUGAACAAUGAUAGCCUACUUACAAGUACCGAUGCUGAUGGUGGAUUGCUGGUAAUUCACUGUUGUUAAUUUAUUUUGACUGAAUUAACUGAAACUUUCUAUUAAUUACCUCACUCUUUAAAUUUGCAGGCUUCACCUUGUAUUAGAUUUAACAAGGAAGGAAUCCUGUUAGCCGUCUCAACAAGUGAUAAUAGCAUCAAAAUUCUAGCAAAUUCAUUUGGGAUUGAGCUGCUAAGGACUGCAGAAAAACAUAUGCUUCUAGAGUCACUGCUAGGAGUCUUUUGAAGGUAAGCUUUUUUAACAAUACACUAACUUUAUGUAAAGAAGUCACUACUAGUCCAUUGUGGUCGGCUAAAACCCAAGGACUUGAUUACACUAGUUAUUUAAUUAAUGCUCUUUCAGUACCUAGACUUGAUUUAACUAAGUGUCCAUGCAGUCUUGGACCCUUUUAUUGACCUAUGCCACUUAAUUGGUGUCCAUGCAUGAGUGCACAAUAAAGGAAAAGUAAACAAUCAUUAUUAAUUCAACAAAAGUAAAGUAUAAGAAAAUACACCUAAUGAAGUGCCAAGCGAAGAAUACACAUGGCUUUGUUUUUAAGCCUCAAGACAACAACCUUGUAAGCUAAAUUCAAAUUAAGUCCAAUUCCUUUUCUCAAACACUAUUCUAUGUAACCUCACCUAAAUCAAAGGCACUCAUUAAAAUCUCUAAACCAUAUGUAGAGUAACUAAAACUAGAAGAAACUAAGCUACAUCUAGCACUAAAACUUAACGACCUAAUCAAGGUCUUUGUUAUUAACCAUUUUCCAAUUUUUCAUAUUUUCGAUUUUUUUUGAAAAUUUAAUUUUAAUUAUUUUCUGAAAAUAGGAAAUCGGGCCGGGCCCUUGGGCCUGGUCCGGAUAUGAGCCUCAUACUGGUCUCACGAAUCUGGGCUAAUGGACAAAAUUCGGGCUAUUAUAUCCAGAUCCAUCCAAUUCUAACUCUACUGAGCCCAAUUCAGAUUAUACCUAUUUUAAGCCCAUUUACCCAUGGAAGCUACUCUAGCUCACUUUCUCAUCUAACUGCACCAAGUCCAUCUUUAAGCCCAAUUUCUAUUACAAAUAGAUUAAACCCUAAGCCCACGCCAACCCUAUCUUACUAUUAUUAUUUUUAAUCCAUUUUUUCCUCUUUUCUUACAUCUUUCGUCAUUUUUUAUUAUUAUAAAAGUAAUCAAUGUUAGGUGUGCGAAGAGCCCCCCCUUUUUUUUAAGAGACUACCUGGUAAACUUUCCUGCAGUAACUUAAGCUAUAAAGGAUGGGUGAUGUAGCUUUUGUAAGGUCUUUGACAAAUAUUUCACAACUUUUUAGGAAAUUGCUUCGCCCGAUUUUGGGAUGUUGGAGCUGCUGUCGACGGCAUUGGGAAACAAUUUGGUAAAAGAAGUUGAAUUAACCUUCCAGCAAAGAAUUAUAAAGUGGAGAUGGUCAAUGGCAUUGGGAAACAAUUUGGUAAAAGAAGUAUUUCUAAGAGGUAUAAUAAGUCAGAACUCAACAAAAACGUCAGUGGAAGUGUUCAAUCAUGAAGAAGAAGAAGAAGCAAAACACCAUUCACUAAGGGAUAACUCGUGCACGCAGAAGGGAGGAAGCAGGGGAAAAUGGCUCCAUCUUCCAUCGUCUCCAGUCACCAUUGGAUAACCUUUCGUCGCGGUGUCUCAAGUUCCGAUAUAGCCGCUAGCUACCAUCGCCGUUCAUUACGAGUUCCAACUCCUUCGUUGGUUGCGCCGUCGACCAUCAGUCUCAGGAGGAUCACGUUUGUUCAUUUCAUCGCGAGCACCAUUCCAGAACCAAAACAAACAAAAACAUCGAGCAAGGAAAAUUCAUCUAAAAAAAGCGAUUCCGUUCGAUUCAGUUGGCGAUUUCAAGCGUUCUGAAUCGAUCACAGUGGCCGUCGCCGGCAUCAACAGCCUCUUCAAUGCCGCGACUCAUCUCCUUCGUUUCCCUUCAACGGCCGAGAGCUUCGAAAUGUUGUCGUUCCGCUCGAAGCUUCUCCACCUGUUCAGGUUUCGAUCAUCGACACGUUCUAGAGCUUCUUUCAGCGAUUCGUGCGCCAAACCGCGGCCUCAGUCCACUUGAUUAAGCAGGUAGCAUCUCCUGUUCUGUUGUCACGAGUAAGAGGCCGAGAGUCUGAUUCUCUUAUUAUGAUGAAAUUGAUCAUAUUUGAAUUUUUUUCUUUGACUUCGAACAUCAUGUACUGAUUUAGGUUGAGUCUAGUUGUAAAUUCGAGUUCGAAAUGGCUUUGAUAUGUUCCACAACCGAUUGACCAUAAUCUGUUCGAUGAAAUGUGUCUGAGACCCUGUUGUGAAUUGAUUCCAGUAAUCGUCCGAUCUGAAAAAGCGCAUUAGUGAUGUUCACUUGAUAUUGUUUGAUUUUUCAAUCUUUAGACAUGAUUACGAGUAUAUGCCAUAGUUGCCAAGAAUAAAACUGACUCUCCGCAUGUUUUCUCAGUGCUUCUUGUGAUCCUUUGGUGAUAGGUGGUGGUUGCCGGCAAGGGGAGAUGGAAUGGAGUCGCUGGCACAUGCAUUAGUCUUUGGUGAUGAUCGUAGCAUGCCCUGUUGAACAGAAUCGAGACGAUGUCGCUGAGCGUUAAUCGCCAAUUCAGAUAAUGAACUGCGGCCGACACAUGUUGCGGUCACUAACGGGAGCAAUGUUAUGCCUAGUCACUAUCCGCGUCCUUGCCACUGAGUCACCGUGCAAUCUCCUCGACUGCCAAGCUUUGCUUCAGUCCAUGCCUUGCAGACCAUCCUUGCCAUUGCAAUUGCUGUGCCACACCUUACCAUAAUGGCUAUUCAAGUGAACUCCGCAUGCGAUAGCACUGCCAUCAGAAUAAACCGCCAUACAUUACCAUUAUGGAUUGAUGUGGCAAUAGAGCUAUAUCCAUCACGUGUCUUUACAAUCGGUUGUUUCCGUUCCAACUGAGUUUUAGAGUCCAUUGUAUGUUCAGAUUUCCUUCGCUGCUUUGUUUUAAUGUUCAGGAUUUUGCGAGUCUUCUUAAACCGAAUCAUGGGAAAACUAAAUGGUUCGAAGUCCAGUCGUCAUGGGGUCGAUACUUUGUUGUAAAAUCAUUGUGCAUUACCUGCUUCCUGAUUCUUGUCUUGUCCUUUGGUUAUUGGUUACUUCACCUUCGUUGAUUUCAUUGUCCGGAAGUAGGUAAUCAAUCCAAGAGCACCUGCUAAAAUUGCAUUUUAGUUGUGUCAUCUGCUUCCUGCCUCAUUCUCUGUGAAUGACAUUCUACUUCUUGCGUGCUGUUGAGGGAAAUCAAUGGUUGACAAUCGAUAUGAAGUGAGCAAGUUAUACUUGUUUCCUGUCUUUAGUUGAUAACUUUUUGCGUAUGACAAUCGAUUAAUUAAACCAGUCCAUAGCUUGCACGAAAAUAGUAAAUGAGGAUUUACUUCUUUCUUGGAAUUAUCAAUGUCAUCGCUUUGUCUCUGGUAGUGGAAGAGUUUAUCAUUCUUUUUGAACUUUUUGAACUUGUAUAAGAAUCAAUGGAAUUCUCAUGGAGCAUUGAGUACCCAAAAUUUACAAGUUAUAUGAAGUGGUGGUGUCCUUUUGUUGCAUAUGCUGGAGUUUAGCGGUUAGUGUUCAUCUAUGUUUGUUGAACCGUUUGAUUUAUCACUUCAAUCGACAAAAUCUCAUAAACAGACAUGACAAUUGCGAGAGACGUCUUUGAACUGGCACUUUGGUGAUGAUGGUGCUCCUUCGUGUCGACUGUAUUUACUUGUUUGAGGAAGAAUCAUUUAUGAUAUUUUAUGAUAUUGGAGAAGUGAAUAUGUAUGGAAGGUUCCUUGGAUUCACAAGAAUAAAACCACUCGUGAUCCUGGAUCCACUCAUUGAAGAAAUGGAGAGAGAGAAUUUCCACAUGGACGAUGUGAAUGGGUCGUUGCUAAGCUUCUCGGCUGUUUGUUGAAUUUGAUUUGCAUAAUGGGUUGAAGCUAGCAUUUUAGUAGUGCUGGAAUUCCAAAACUGAGACGAACUGAAGAAUUUGAUGUUAAGUAUCUAAGCAAUGCCCACAAUUAGUAACAUGUUCUGAGCUAAUCAAGGUUUGUCAUCUGAGUAUAUCGCCAAGUAGUGCAUAACUUAGUCCUUUUUAGAGUAAUGCAUCAUUUAGUUAGAAAUUCGAGCAUGUUUAGAUUAGUACUUAGCUCAUGUGGGUUACUGUCUCGGGCUUAGCUCGAGAAUUCCAGCACAUUAUGACUGGAUGUAUAACCUUCCACAUCAUACAAAACCACAUAUCAGACGAACCCAAAGAUUUUCCGUUGUUCCACAAAUUAAGCAGGCUGGCACUUUAUCUUGCUGCUGGCAUAGUCGGCAAACCUGAUAAAGAACAGAACCAAAAUCUUAUUCACAAUCAGUUCAAAGAUGGGCACCCCUGAUGAUGUCGCAGUACGUAACCACAUUUCCGAUAAAGUUAAUCCUUGCAGUCAAUCAAGUAUGUGCCAUACUUGAAAUCUUUAGCAAUGUAAUUGAACCUUCCAAGAAAAUCAAAGGAAGACCCUUGGCACGGCACCAGCCUGGGGUAAUGUUGUAUUGACUUAUUUUAAACAUAAAGAUUGAAGAAUCAAGCGAAUGUGCACAUGUCCAUCAACGUAUGUCUUACAGGGCAUUUUUUUCAUCUUCAUAUAUAUAUUCGAGUUCAAAGGUACAUUUUUGCUACAAAUUCAUGUGGAUAGAGCGCAAUCACAAUUAAGUAGAAUAUCACUUGAAAUGUAAAAUAUAACCAUGCACCAUCUUAAUUAAGAGCCUGGAGAAGUUUAAGGUGAGGUGAGUAUAUAAGUUUAACACAUAAACUCAAUAUUUUAUGUUUGGACAGUGCUAUUACUUUCGUCACCAUUUGACUCACAAGAAAUAUGACGUAGAAGUGACAGGACCAUCAAAUCUAAUAACCAUGAUGAGACACUGCAAAUAUUCUCAUGUGAGAGUAUGAGAAACAACAGAAAAACAAGUCCAAGAAGCCACACAUUGACAUAUUCCAAAUCACCAAAGAAAUGUCAUAAUAAUUUAAAAAGAAAUCCAAAACUUUGUAAGCAAGAUAGAGUAAAGAUCUAACAUAAGCCUGAAUGAAAAAAAAAAGAUUUUUUUUUUUAUAUACUUUUCAUCCCUGUACUGCCACCUUUUUAUGUAAUUAUGUCCAUAUACCUUAAACUUGUCGAAUCAAGUCUUUCUAUAUUUACAAAUUUACUAAUCAAGACCCAACCAAAUUUAAUUGACGUAACCCUCGAAUGAUGCCCCAAUAUGAUGCAAAUGCUCACGUAGACAUAUGUGGAAAAAUUUAGCCAAUGUAGACAAUGUUAGAAUGUGACAUGGAUAAAAUUUAGCUAAGGUGUUAGUCAAAGUAACGUCCAUAUUGGAGAUUUUUUUAUCUAUGUCACACACUGACAUCAUUUGAUGAUUACGCCAACUGGAUCUGGCAGGAUUUUGUGUUUAUUGGGAUUUGAUUAGAAAAAUUUGUUAAAUUUGAAUGACUUGACUCGACAAAAUAAAAGUACGAUGGAGAGAACAGUAAAGUAGGGAAUAUUUCAAAAAACCAACCGCAAAUCCAGUCAGCAAAUAUCAGCAAAAGAUAGUGGCAGUUGCUGAGAAAUUAUGGUCUAAACUACUCUUAUCUGCACCAGCAAAAGAAAGCCUCACCUGACAAGACAACUAAGUCUAUUUUGUACCACAUGAGCAAUGAAUGGAAUGGUCACUCUUGAGUACUCAAAAUUCCGCUGGUGUGUGGGUCCGAUCUCAACGACAUCAAAAGCCAAGAAAAGGUCGCGACUGUGAACAUGUCUAUAAACUUAGUCUCAUUUUAUCAUAUGCUUUGACAGGGAACAAAAUUUCUAAGCCAAACUAGCAGCUGUGAGGGAAAUAUAUUCAGCAAGGGAUGUUGACACCUAAAAUUUGAUGAUCUAGUUAAUUAUUCAUUGCAAAAAUUAAGUAAAAUUGAGGAUUGAUCCCGGUCCCUAAAAAGAUAUUAGCUAAGUUGCAUAUACAUAUUAGAAGCAUUUUUCAUUCAUUAAAUAGUAAGCCCACAUAUGAUUACACUUCGAUUGGACUGGUGUAAGGAGAUUAUGAGCUUAAUUGAGUUUAUUAGACUAAGCCCAUGAGAAUGAGAAAUUCGGCCUAACCCGUCUAUUUCCUUUGCUCGACCAGACAUCAAAUAUGCAGUAUAAGGAAUUUAGCACGAAUGAAGGAGCAAAUAUUCGUUAUUAAGGAAUAUAUUCUGAAUAAUUUUUUGGGAGAAUUAACUGGCCAAUUCUUUCCAUUAUUAAAGAUGCGCAUCAUGCUUAAAGUAGGCAAGUUAAUUUUUCUUAGUCAAAUCUGGAAGUAAUUGAACACUAUUUGAAAGGAUAAAAACAAAAAUAGAAAAAUAAAAAGGAAUAAAACAGGGAAAAAGUACAAAAAAAGUCAUAAACUAUUGCAUCGAUAUCAAUUCAAUUCUAAAAUUUUCAAUUAAAUCAAUUAAAUCAUAAAUUUUUUCACAUUGGUACUAAUUUAGUCAAUUUGACCAAUUUUGGUCGGCUAGUGGCCAGAUGUUGACGUAGCAAUUUUUAAAUAAUUUUUUUGAAUUUUUUUAUUAAUUUUUCCUUCUUCUUUUUUUCCCUUUUCCUUUUCUCUCUUCUUCCACCUUAAACUAUACUCACGGUGGCCAGCAAACCUUUGGUGAGGCUCGCCAACCAUUGGGCGAGGGCCGUGAAGCCCUUGUCGGCCGCUAGUGAGGGUCGUGGCCUUCGCUUAGCCUUGCCCAAGGCCGCGAGCGAGGCUACUUUGCCUAGGUCCAGGUGAGACCAGCCUCGCCCUAGCCUUGCCUUAGGCGAAGGCGGCCUCGCCCGUGGUUGGCAAGGCCAUGGCGGCCAUCGCCAAGGCCUAAGCAAAGGUCACCAUGUCCUCACCUGCAGCCCCGGGCGAGGGUGUGACCCUCCCUGGCAACUGGCCAGUGCUUCGCGGCCCUUGCCUAGUGGUUGGCGAGCCUUGUGGGAGGCUUGCUGACCACCGCGAGUAUAGUUCAAGGAGGAAGAAGAGAGAAAAGAAAAGGAAAAAGGAAAAGGGAAAAAAGGAAAAAGAAAAGGAAAGGAAAAGGAAUUAUUAUAAAAGAUUAAAAAAAUUAUUAAAAAUUGUCACAUCAUUGUCUGGUUAGCGUCCACAUCAGUGUCGGCUUGCCAAAAUUAGCCAGAUGGAAUGAAUUGGUACCAAUAUGAAAAUGUUUAAGACUAAAUUGAUUCAAAUGAAAAAGUUUAGGACUAAAUUGGUACAAAUGCAAUAAGUUUAUGAUUUUUUUGGUACUUUUCCCAAGAAAAUGGUGAAGAAAGAAAGAGAAUGAAGGAGCAGAGGACGCCGACAAAGAGGAAGAGGAGGGAGCGAAGCCAAUGGUAGCGUGGGAGGAGCUAGGGUUGGAGGCGGCGGCGGUGACGAAAGGGAGGGGGUGAAGGAGAAGGAGAGAGGGGAGGAGGAGUUAGGGUUUACGGUCACAAGCAAAGAAAGAAAAGAGAAAACAAGAAAAAAGAAAGGAAAAGAGAAAACAAGAAAAAGAAAAAAAGAGAGAAAGAAAUAAGAAAAAAAAUAUAAUAUUAACAAAUUCAAAAUUUUUAGUUAGUAAAAUUUUUAGGAAUAAAUUUUUCAUUAUCUAAGGACUUUAAAACAUUUUGGAAAAUGUUUUCCAAUUCUUUCAAAUAGAAAUCGUUUUUAUGAAUUUAAGCUUUGGAGGGAAAACCUAUUCUAUUGAUUAGGAAAAUAGUUUAUGUUAACUUAUUUUCCUAAGUGAAUCAAACACUGGUAAAUGAGGAAAACGCUUAUUUAGGAAAUUGUUUUUCGCAAAACAAACACACCCUUCACUGUGUUCCCAAACACCUAGGGAGCUAUAGGACAUUAGUGUUCGCCGACACAUUUUCUAGGAUUGCCUUUUCCACAUUUUAUUUUUCAAAUUUCCAUGUUCUUUAACAAUAUUUCGGAAAAUGAAUGAUACAUGGGGGGAAAUUAGGAAUUCAACAUGAAACGUUGCAAACUAUUAAUUUGGAGGAGAGAGAUAAAAAUGAUUAGAUGGAGUGUAAAGACUGGAUAAUCUUUAAAUAUGAUGCAGCAUGGAGAAAUCUAAUUUGAGAAAAUUAUUUCGAAAGAGAUUUAUUUUGAGAGCUACUUUCUCGGUCAAAUCUCUUUUGAAAAAAGUAAUGCGUCCCGCACACUUUUAAUAACAAUAUCCUAUAUAAUCCCACGAUUGAUAUGCUUUUGUUAUCGACUCAUGUUCAUUAGCAGCUUCGACCAAAAAAAUGAAGAAGAAGAAAAAAAAAUGUACAUUAGCAACAGGAGAAGGUGAUUGUCGGUAACCACUGGGAGUUCGCCCCAAUGACCACUCUUCCAACUUGGAAGGGGGAUGUUGGGAGUUCAAAUUCCUAACUUCGCGGGGGGAUUGGGGUGGGGAUGAUUUCAUUUCAAGAAUGGAUUUCGACUCCCACGUCCUGCAAUGAGGCAGGGCAAAAGUCUGAAAGUGAGUGUUAGAGUAAGAUUAUAGUAGGAUCGAAAAAAAGAAAAAAGAUGACUGUUGGUCGUUAGUUGUCUUUUUCUAUUCUGUCUAGUAAUACAAAAGGCUAGCCAAGUCAGACAAUGCUGGAGGAUCUCAAAUCUCAAUGAAAGCACAUGCAUGCACCAUCCUCGUAUAAUGCUGAGGAUCGGCGGAGAUCACAGCUGGCGCACGUGAGUAUUGCUCGUUGGUUCUCUUUUCUAUUUUCUUUCGUUAAUAUCGAAAGGCAAGUCAAGUCAAUCCGUACUGGAUCUCAAAUUUUGAUCAAAGCACCAGGCACGUGAUUGCAUGUGAGUAAUUGCUCGUUGGGUUCCGCACACAUUCCGCAAGAUGCUGCGGAAACUUCGCGUGCAAUGACUGUUCUUUCCGCGGCAUGUUUCGCUGCGGUUCGAUUAGCAUGAAGAGACUUCGACCGUUGGAUAGCUAGGCCCCAACAUUAUAUGCUUUGCACAAAUAGCCCCGGUCGAUCUUUUCAUGCGUCAACAAUUUUUAUCUAAUUAAUUUGACUAACCCAUAUAUAUAUAUAUAUAUAUCCGGAUGGAGAGGAAAUCCUAUUCAGGUAGAUAAAUUUCCACCGUAUAAUUCUAAUAAUGGAAAUUUGGUUCAUUCACUCUAAAUAUUUUGCCUUCCAUACCCAAAAUUUAGGACCUCACUAAUUUCAUCCUUUGCACUUCUAUAUCCUCAAGAAACUUUGAGCCUGCAUACAUCUUUUCUCUUGACAAUGUAAAUGGUUUAUAAAAUUUUUUUAGCCCUGAUUACAUCCUAGAUUGCAGUUUGUUUUAGGGAGGGUUUUAUCCGUUGAGCACACGCACUGAUUAGUAAAAGCAUCGCCAGGAGAAAAAAAUGAACUUUAUGGUUCUUCCCUAAACUUUAAUUUGCUUUCUCUUCGCUAGUUAAUCUUUCCUAUGUGCAUAUACUUGCUUCGUUCUUCCAUAACGAAACAUGUAAUUGGUAAAUUGUCGAACUUGUGAACUACAAUAUCCACUAUUUUAUCAAGUCUCAUUUUUUUUUUCCAUUUUUAAUUUGAGGUAGUACAUUAAACAUGCUAACAAAAUAGAAUCUAAAUAGGAAACAAAAAUAAAAAUAAAACAAUUGGCUAUGGUGCAAUAUUAUAUAGCAAUAUAAUUGGUCUAGGUCGUGAUAUUGUAGUGUAGUUGGUUUAUAAUAUCCAAUCACUAAUGACAAACGACUAUAACAAGUACAUAGAUCUUUUUCUUUUCCAUUUUUUUAAUUGAUAUGAGAAGGAAAAUAUAUUUAUAGGAUUAUAAAUAUUAAGAGAGAGAAUAGAUCUUGCAUUGCCAACAAAGCAACAUGGCAAAAAAGUUGUAUAAUACCUUAAGAUUGCUUCAUUUGCAGUACCUUUAUUAAAGAUAUAUAAAGUUGUAUAAUACCAAUGGCUAAGAUAUUAAGUGUAAUACUCAAAUAUAACCUUGUUUAAGAGAUAAUGACGACAAAGACAGCGAUAAAUAUGCCCUAUCCAAUAAGUAACUCACCGAUAAAAUACGAUAAAACCCAACUCGCCCUCGAGUGCUGUCGGAAUAUUAUUGCAAAUACAUCCAUGAAGCCAUCGAUAGAAGACACGUACUUGCAAAUACAUCCAUGGUCCAUAUUUGAAAUUCAGCACUCAAAAUUUUUAGUGAUUAUUUUUCAGUUUUAUCUUAACGGCACGUACUCGCAGCUUAUUUUUCACAAACGAAUUUAAGUUCAGCAUUGGCAAAAAAAAAAAAAAAAAAAAACAAGUUGAGUCGAGUUGAAAGUCGAGUUAUAGUACAUAAGCUUUGACUCAAAAUUACCAGUGCAAUCGUUUACUUUAAGUAGUUAGAGUACAAUGUUGAAUAUAUUUUGUCUUAACAGUUCAUUUGGUUUAACUUCUAGCUUUUUCUUGACGAUAAAGCAAGAAUUAGGUACAUAAAUUCACAAAUCAAUAAAUAAUCCACUAAUGCAAAGGAUCACACAAGACACAGGUCCCUAGUUAUGAAACCAUUUUAUGCUUACAAACGCGAGGAACCAAACACACGUCAUGUAUCUAGUUUCCAUACACUAAUUUUUGCUUUCCUUUCUCUUGCAACUCACACAGUUGAACUUUUGUUUAACAUAAAUAACUUAAAAGAUUCAAAAUGUGUAAAUACAGUCACGUAGAUAAUUAUACAAAUCUUUUUGUAAUUAACUUAAAUUAUAUAUUAAUUUUUUAAAUGUUAAACAUUUAUUAUGUUAUACCAAAAUUAUCUUGAAAGAGGUAAUACACCAGGCCAAAGUAAGGAGCCACCUCAGUUACCGUCGAGUCCACGUCCGUGUGGCCAUGCAGCGUUGUCGUCGAGGUCCGAGGGGCGAUGGAUAUUCCUGUCUCCUUUUUCAAAAGCCGAAGUAAUCACUCCGAAAGUCCAACCCCCAUGUCGCCUCGGUUGGGAAGUACACAGGAACUCGCUCGGUCCGCGCGCCACGUGAGGUCGAGGGGCAAGUCGGAGUGGCAGAAGAUAUCCUCGAGGUCCGAGGCGGGGACCCCGCUUAGGCUUCGGUUUCAGAGCAGCUGACCGUCGUAGCGGUCAAACAAGUACGUGCCGCACUUGAAAUCUCUAGCAACGUAAUUGAACCUUGCAAUAAAAUCAAAGGAAGAACCUCGGCGCAUCACCAGCAUAGGAGACCACCAUAUUGACUUCAUUUAAAAAGAAAGAACGACGAAUCAAGCAAAAGUUAGUAUGUACAUAUCCAUCUAUGCAUCUCUUACGGGGCGCUUUUUCAUCUUUUAAUAUAGACUCGAGUUCAAAGGUAAUUUUUUGCUACAAAUUCACAUGAAAAUAGCAUAAUUACAAUCAGUAGAAUAUCACUUGAAAUGUAAAAUAUGACCAUGCACCAUCUUAUCUAAGAGCCAAGUUUGAGAAAAGACUACCAAAAACCCUAAACUUUACCAAAAGUGACAAAUUUAUCUCAAACUUUUUUUGUGACGUGAAAAACCUAAAACUUUUCAAAUUGUAACACAUUUACCCAAUCAAGGGCAUUUUUGUCUUAUUUUUUCUCUUUUUUUUUUCUUCUUCUUCCCUCUACUGGCUAUGGUGGAGGGAAGCUGGCAUCCCGGCGAGGGCUGCCCUUAUCGACGUUGGGCUAGCUCAUGCGAGGGUCGUCUCGCCCUGGGGCUUGGCUANNNNNNNNNNNNNNNNNNNNNNNNNNNNNNNNNNNNNNNNNNNNNNNNNNNNNNNNNNNNNNNNNNNNNNNNNNNNNNNNNNNNNNNNNNNNNNNNNNNNNNNNNNNNNNNNNNNNNNNNNNNNNNNNNNNNNNNNNNNNNNNNNNNNNNNNNNNNNNNNNNNNNNNNNNNNNNNNNNNNNNNNNNNNNNNNNNNNNNNNNNNNNNNNNNNNNNNNNNNNNNNNNNNNNNNNNNNNNNNNNNNNNNNNNNNNNNNNNNNNNNNNNNNNNNNNNNNNNNNNNNNNNNNNNNNNNNNNNNNNNNNNNNNNNNNNNNNNNNNNNNNNNNNNNNNNNNNNNNNNNNNNNNNNNNNNNNNNNNNNNNNNNNNNNNNNNNNNNNNNNNNNNNNNNNNNNNNNNNNNNNNNNNNNNNNNNNNNNNNNNNNNNNNNNNNNNNNNNNNNNNNNNNNNNNNNNNNNNNNNNNNNNNNNNNNNNNNNNNNNNNNNNNNNNNNNNNNNNNNNNNNNNNNNNNNNNNNNNNNNNNNNNNNNNNNNNNNNNNNNNNNNNNNNNNNNNNNNNNNNNNNNNNNNNNNNNNNNNNNNNNNNNNNNNNNNNNNNNNNNNNNNNNNNNNNNNNNNNNNNNNNNNNNNNNNNNNNNNNNNNNNNNNNNNNNNNNNNNNNNNNNNNNNNNNNNNNNNNNNNNNNNNNNNNNNNNNNNNNNNNNNNNNNNNNNNNNNNNNNNNNNNNNNNNNNNNNNNNNNNNNNNNNNNNNNNNNNNNNNNNNNNNNNNNNNNNNNNNNNNNNNNNNNNNNNNNNNNNNNNNNNNNNNNNNNNNNNNNNNNNNNNNUGGCUUCCUUUCACGGAUUCCGCCAUGGCCGGCAGGGGGAAGAGAGAAGAAAAAAAAAAAGAAAAAGAAAAGUAAAAAGACCAAAAUGCCCUUUAGUUUAUGAUAAAUGUGUCACACGACAGAAGUUUAGGAUUUUUUAUAUCACAAAAGAAAGUUUGGGAUAAAUGUGUCACGGUUGGCAAAAUUCAUGAUUUUUAAAAUCACAAAAAAAAGUUUGGGGGUAAAUCUGUCACUUUGGACAAAGUUUAGGGUUUUUCGUGAUUUUUUCCAGCCAAGUUUAAGGUCUAAGAUCAGCAUUUUGAUAUCAUUACGAUCAUCUUAUAAGCAGUAAGCAUUCAAGUAGCAUUCAAGUAGCAUUCAAGUUUAAUACAUAAACUUGAUAUUUUAUGUUUGGACAUUGCUAUUACUUUUUUUUUUUUGGUAAGGUAACAUUGCUAUUACUUUUGUCACUAUUUGACUCACAAGAAAUUUAACAUAGGGAAAUUUAACAUAGGAGUGAUAGGACCAUUAGCCCUAAUAACCAUGAUGAGACACUGCAAAUAUUCUUGUGUCAGAGUAUGAGAAACAACAUAAAAAUAAGUCCAAGAAGCCACACUUUUGACCUAUUCCAAAUCACCAGAGAAAUAUCAUAAUUAAUUAAAAGAAAUCCAGAGCUUUGUAAGCACGGUGAAGUAAAGAUCCAGCAUAAGCCUGAAAGACAAAAUUAAGUUUUUUUUGGGUACUUUCAUCCCUAUACUUUCACUUUUUUCUCUCAUUAUGUCCCCAUACCUUAAACUUUUCUAAUCAAUUUAUUUUGCUUUCACAAAUUUCCUAAUCAAGACCCAACCAACCUUAGCUUAUGUAACCGUCAAAUAAUGCCCCAGUACGAUGCGGAUAACUUAUGUGGAUGCCCACGUAGUCAUGUAUGGAAAAAUUUAUCCAAUAUAGACAAUGUCAGAACGUGACAUGGAUAAAAUUUAGUUAAGGUGUAUGCCAAAGUAUAUGUCUAUAUUGGAAAAUUUUUGUUUACGUCACACAACAAUAUCAGUUGACAGUAAUGCCAGCUGGAUUUGGUCGAGUUUUGUGUUAGAGGGAUUUGAUUGGAAAAUUUAUGAAAUUUCAAAGAACUUGUUAGUAAAAUUACGGUAGAGAAAACGUGAAAGUAGAGGAUAAGAAGAAGACUGAUUUCGAAAAACCAACAGCUAAUCCACAGUCAGCAGAAGAAUGCCUUACCUGACAAGAUAAGUAGGUCUACUUUGUACCACGUGAGCAAUGAAUGGAAUGGUUACACUACAUCCUCACAAUUCCACUGGUAUCUGGGUCCAAUCUCAAGGACAUCAAAAGCCAUGAAAAGAUCACAACUGUGAACAUCUCUCUAUGAACUUGUCUCAUCAUAUGCGUCAAGAGGGAAUAAAAUCUUUAAGCCAAACUAGUAGUUGUGAGGAAAAUAUAAUCAGCAAUUAAUGUUGACACAUAAAUUUUGACUACCCAAUUAGUUAUUUAUCGCAUAGAAAAAUUAAAAAAUCGACCUCGUCCCCUAAAAAAAAUAUUAGUUAAAUUACAUAUAGAUAUUAGGAGCAUUUUUCAUUCAUUAAUAGUAAGUCCACAUAUAAUUACAUUUUGAUUGGACUGGUGCAAGGAGAUUUUGAGCGUAAUCGAGUUAAUUGGACUAAGCCCGUGGGAAUGAGAAAUUCAGCCUAAUCCAUUUAUUUCCUUUGCUCGACCAGACAUCAAAUAUGCAGCACAAGGACUUCAGCACGAAUGAAGCAGCAAAUAUUCGUUAUUGAGAAAUAUAUUCUGAACCUUUUUUUGGGAAAAUUAACUGACUAAUUCUUUUCAUUAUUAAAGAUGCACGUCAUGCUUAAAGUAGGCAAGUUAAUUUUUCUUAGUCAAAACUGGAAGUAAUUGAACACUAUUUGAAAGGAAAGAAACAAAAAUAGAAAAAGAAAAAGGAAGAAAACGGGGAAGAAAGAAAGAAAUUCACGGCCCGAGCAUGAUAGACCAGAGAAUAAUGUAUGCACUCACAAGAGGAAAGUGGAAUUCGGCCAGCCCAAAAGGAGUUCUCGCCAAGUAUAAAGAGAUAACACUGCAACACGUAAAAGAGGAGACAAAGGAGGGAGACAAAAUGUUCGAUAAAUUCACGUUCGCAAUUAACGAGAAGUGUGAGCAAUACAUAAAAGAGAACUCAAGUUUUUUCUGUGCCUCGAAAAGCUAGCCCCUACGCAGUAAGUGUGUCUAUGUUUUGACGUUACGAUUGGGAGAAAACAUGUGCGUUCAAUGACAUUGGAGAUUGAUUUACAUGUCUCAAAGUCAUUAGUUGGAAUUAAAAGUGGACUGUAAAUGCAUGUGAAGAUAUUCGAAAAGUACACUUGUAAUAGGUGGAGACGAUAUUUGGGGCACUCAUGAAAAAAAAUGGAUUGAACGGGCCAAAAUAUUUUAGAUAUUUAUAGCAUAAGUUUUGUCAUAUUGAUGCAUUUCGUUAAACAAUUUUUUUAAUCUUGAGGAGAAGCUUCUAUUGCAUUCAUUUAUAGUUUAAGAACUAUAGAUGGACGUAAAUGAUCAACGGCACAUUUUCUAGGGUCGCAUCUUCCACAUAUUUUCAAAUUUCCACACCUUUAAAAAUAUUUUGGAAAAUGAAUGAAAAAUAGGAGGGAAGUUAGGAAUUCAACAUGAAGCGUUAAAAACUAUUAACUUAAGGAGAGAGAUAAAAGUGACUUAAGCAGAGGGUAAAGACCGGAUAAAACAUGAUAUAGCGUAGAGAAAUCUGGUUUGAGAAAAUUAUGUCGGAAGAGAUUAAUUUUCAGAGUUACUUUCCCAGACGAAUCUCUUUUGAUAAAAGUAAUUCGUCCUGCAGGCAUUUGAAUAACGAAAUCCUAUAUACCACGCUUGAUAUGAUUUUGUCAUUGACUCAUGUACAUUGGCAGCGGGAGCAUGCGACUGUCGGUCGUUAGUUUUCUUUUUCUGUUCUGUUUACUAAUAGAAAAGGCAAGCCAAAUCAAGACAAUGCUGCAGGAUCUCAAAUCUGAAUGAACGCACCUGCAUGCACCUCCCUUGUAUGAAGCUGAGAAUCGGUGGAAAUCACAGCUGGAGCACGUGAGUAUUGCUCCUUAGCUUUCUUUUCCAUUUUCUUUCGUUAAUAUAAAAGUCUAUUUACUUUCAUUAAUAUGAACGGCAAGCCGUGCGGGAUCUCGACUUUUGACCAAAGCACCGGGAGCAAGUGAGUGUUGCACGUGAUUGCAUGUGCGCACGUGAGUAUUUAUUUUGGCUCUUUCGGUUCCGCGCUCCUUCCACUAAAUGCUGCGGAAACUAUGCAUGCAAAGAUUGUUCUUUCAGCGGCAUGCCUCGCAGUGGUUCGAUUAGCACGAAGAGUCUUGGACCGUUGGAUGGCAAGAACUCAGCAUUAUGUGAUUUGCACAAAUAGCCCCGGUCAAUCUUUCUAUGCUUCAACAAUUUUUUUCUAAAUAAUUUGACAACCCAUUCAUAUAUAUAUAUAUUUCCAGAUGCAGAGAAACCCUACCUACUUAGACAAAUUUCCAUUGUAUCAUUCUAAUAAUGGAAGUUUGGUUCAUUCACUCUGAAUAUUUUUCCUUCCAUGCAAGUAAAAGUCUAAGACCUUACUAAUUUCAUCAUUGCUACUUUGAACAAACGUUUCUCUUUUCUCUGGAUAAAUUUCUUUUGCCUCGAUUAUAUCCUGGAUUCCAACUAUUUUUUUUUUUUUUAAAGGAGGGAAUUAUCCAUGGAGGACGCACACUAAUUUGUAGAGGCACCAUUAGGAGAAAAGAAUAAACUUUAUGAUGUGAAAAAAAUUACAUUUUAUAUUCUUCCCUAAAUUUUAAUUUGUUUUCUCUUUGCUAUUUAAUCUUUAUUAUAUGUAUACUUGUUUAUUUCUUCCAUAACGAAACAUAUAGCUGCUAAUCUAUCAUCCUUGUGAGACACAAUGCCCACUAUUUUAUCACGUCUCAUUUUUUUUCAUCUGUAAUUUGAGGUAGUACAUUGUUAAGAGACGAAGGAAAACGAAAGGCCCAUGUGUACUCUACUAUCGGUAGAAUAUAUUUUCCACGCCCCGAUUUUACAAUCAAGACGUGCUGCACCCCAAUUUUCAAUCAAAGCACGUUGCAUAAGUAGGAUCCACACACCUUCCGCAUAAUGCUGCAGAAAUUAAUUAUUAUCGAACAACCUUUUCUUUCAUUUUAAGUCCUUAAAAUGGUCCAUAUUUGAAAUACAGUACUCGAAAUUUCGGUAAUUAUUUUUCAGUUUUUUCUAAACGGGCUCAUACUCGCAGCUGAUUUUUCACAAAUGAAUUUAAGUUCAGCAUCAGCAAAAAGACAAGUUGAGUCAAGUGGAAAGUUGAGUUAUAGCACCCAAGGUUUGACUUGAAAUUACCUAUGUAAUCAUUUACUUUAAGCCGUUAGAGUACAGUGUUGAAUAUAAUUUACAUCAUAGCAAUUUAUUUGGUUCGACUUCUAGCUUUUUGUUAACGACGAACACAAAUCAGAUACGUAAUUCACAGGUCAACAAAUUCUCCACUAAUGCAAAGUAUCAAGCUAGACACAAGUCUCAUAUACGAAACAGUUUAUGCUUGCAAAUAUGGCGGACCAAACACACGUUGUGUACCUAGUCUCCAUCUACUAAUUUUUACUUUCUAUUCCCUUGCGACUCUCAUAGUCAAACUUUUUUUUUUUUAUAACAAAGAUCACUUAAAAGAUUCAAAAUAUGCAAAUACUAUCACGUAGAUAAUUAUAUAAUUAUAUUUUUAAUUUAACUUAAAGAAUAUACAUAUUUUAAAUCUUUCAAAUGUAAAAAAUCAAUUAUACUUUUAAGUGCAGUCUAAAUUUUUAUCGAAGGGUUGCAUACCAAAAUUAUCUUUUAUUUUGAAAGAAGUAAAGCACCUCAUUAGUCAUUAGAGAAAAAGGCCAAAGCAUGGAGCCACCUCAGCUAGCGCUGUCGGGGACCCGUCUCCUUUUUCAAAAGCCAAAAGAAAUUGCCCCGAACGUCAAACCCGCCCACUCGCCUCGGUCAGGGAGAGCACGGAAACUCGCUCGGACCGCGCGCCACGUGAGCUCGAGGGGGGCAAUUCGGUACAUUCCGAGUGGCCGAAGAUAUCCUCGAGAUGCGAGGUGGGGACCACACAUUGGCUUUGGUUUCUGAGCAGCUGACCGGCGUAGCGGUCGAGCAACGCGAACACGGAGAGGAGGAGCGGCGUGGGUCCGCGUGAAGAGACAACCUAAGCAGAAUCUUUUUUUUUGGUCGAAGCCUAAGCAGAAUCCACACGGCAAAUUUCUACUCUGUUUUCGUGGAUAAAAGGGUCUCGAACAGUUGGACGGCAAUAACUCAGCAUCGUUCGAGCAAGCGCGGGAGAGAGUGUUAAGCGUAGUUAAUCCGAGGUUGAAGGCUGAGAACCGGCAGAGUUCACAGCAGUAGGUGAAUUGUGUUGUUUGAGCACUCUUCAGGUAAUCGAUUGCUCCAUUUUCUUUUGAUGAGUUUCGAUUUGAGUUCUUGGAGACAUUUUUGCAUUCCGAGAUUUGGACUGUGAAAUCUAGACUUUUUUUCUUCAAGGCUCUGCUCGAUCGAUGUCCUAUUUGGUCAAUUAGACUUCAUUUCUGUUUGAAUUUAGCUACGAAAUGAGCUCUGACAGACAUUUCGGCAAUUCCCGAAUCCGGGAUUCCGUAUUUCUCUUUGUUUUCUGCUUUUCUUCGAGGCUCUGCUCCAUCGAUCUCUUCCAUUCCCUUUAUAGGUGAUUACAAAGGCGGAGCCUAAAAGAUUCGAUAUGUGGGGACAUUCAGAAGAUCCGAAUUGUGGGGCUUCUUCCUCAUCGACUUCACCGCAUGUAGGUGAUUAUGAAGGCAGAACCAAAAAGAUGAAAAGAAAUGACUACGAAGUGUUCUUGAGCUUUAGAGGGAAGGAUACUCGUAAUGGCUUCACCGAUUAUCUAUAUACUAGUCUUGUUGAUGCAGGAAUUCAUGUGUUCAGAGAUGACAAUGAGCUUUGUGUUGGUGAGGAGAUUGGACCGGAACUUUUCCGCAGUAUUACACAAUCUAAGAUCUCCAUCCCGAUUAUCUCAGAGGACUAUGCAUCCAGCAAAUGGUGCCUUCGCGAGUUGGCUCUUAUGUUGAAUUGCAAGAGAAACAAAGGGCAAAUGGUGUUACCCAUAUUUUACAAAGUGGAACCUUGGCAAGUGAAGCAUCUCACAGGGAGAUUUGGAGAUGCUAUCAAUACACAUAAAAAGAAUUUGGAAGAAAAGAUUGUGAAGGAAUGGGAAGAAGCACUCAAAGAAGUCACUUCCUUGAAAGGAUUGGAAUCGGAGAAAAUUGAUAAUGGGUACAUUAUUCUCCACCACAACAUUGUUUACUUUCUCAUAACUAGAUCUUACUUGAAAAAUAAUACAAAUAUUUCCAUCAUAUAUUGAAAUUUUUAUUGUUGUUCGACAGGCGUGAAGGAACAUUGGUUAAAAUAGUUGUCAGAAAAGUUAUGAGUAACUUAAAGGAAUUGUUUUUGCUAAAUGUUCCCAAACAGUUGGUGGGAAUUGAUGAUCGUGUGGAGCGUAUUAUGCACUUCAUAAAUGCUAAAUUUAGUGAUACAAGUAUUAUCGGAAUCUAUGGAAUGGGCGGCAUCGGUAAGACAACCCUUGCGAAGGUGUUGUACAACAAGCUUUUGAGUCAUUAUGAGUCUCAUAGCUUUGUGGCAGAUAUUCGAGAAAAAUUUAAGCUCAAGGGUCUUGAAUGCAUACAAAAGCAGCUCAUUUAUGACAUUAGUGGAGGCUUAUGUGAUGUGUCUAAUGUCGAUCACGGAAUCAAUAUCCUUAAAUCUCGAUGUAUAAAUAAGAAAGUUCUCAUUCUUCUUGAUGACAUGGAUGAUAAUACUCCCUUGAAUGCUUUGGUUGAAGACGGUAGUUGGUUUAAAGCUGGAAGUACGGUCAUCAUCACCACUAGAGACAAGAGUAUUCUUGACAAGGUUGGGGUAAGAUACAAGUAUCAACUCAAUGAGUUGCUUUCAUAUCAAUCAUUGGUUUUAUUUAGCAGACAUGCAUUUCGAACGGAUUCUCCUCCGAGUGAUUAUUGGGUUAUCUCUCGUGAUAUCGUAUCUACUACUGGGGGGCUUCCUUUAGCUCUUGAAGUUAUUGGUUCAUUCUUAUGUGGAAAGACAAAAGAAGCAUGGAAAGCUACAUCAAAAAAAUUAGAGAAAGUGCCUAAUAAGAAAGUGCAAGAGAAGUUGAGAAUAAGUUACGACGCAUUAGAUUUUGAGGACCAGCAGAUUUUUUUGGAUAUUGCAUGUUUUUUUGUCGGAUCAUCUAUACAAAAUCCGACUUACAUGUGGGAUGCCUGUGGUUUUUUCCCGGGAAAGGGGAUUGAAGUAUUGAAUCUUAUGUCCCUAAUUAAAAUUACUGAUGAUGGCGAGCUAAUGAUGCAUGAUCAGCUGAGAGAUCUUGGAAGGGAAAUUGUUCGUCAAGAAAAUCUAAAGAAGCCUCAAAAGCGUAGCAGAUUGUGGGAAUAUGAGGAUGGCGUAGAUGUGCUUCUCAGCAACAAGGUAAGAGUUUUUCUCCGCUUGUCUUAAUCAUCGAAUGUGAGCACAUCUUCUCUUUCUUGUUUAAGAUAAUAAUUAUAGUCAAUCACGAGUCCCCAAAACUGGCUGCGUCUACUGGCAAGAGGGCACUUUUAAUUAAUUGCUCUUCUUGUCGGACUUUAGGACAAAAUUGAAGAGCAAUUUCUUGGUUAUUAAUAACUAAUAUUUUUAACUAGUAAGAUUGUGAUGAGGAUACUCUCCUUUUGCUAGCUUCAAUAAAAAAACAAAGCUACAAAUUAAUGUUCGAUAGAGCACUUUUAAAGAAAAUCGAAUAUCUAUAAAUUGUUGGGGCCAUGCUUUCCCACAUUUUUGUUUGGUGCACAGGUUGAUGUUUGAAUUCUUAUAUUGAUUUCUUUUGAGGUAUUUUCUUUCUUUUUUCUUUUAACGAGUACCGACUUCUUAAGAGUUUGCUACGAUGAAUGAGACCAUUCAUUAGUGAUGAUUAGCUAUCCCGAUUCUUGAAUUUUUCAAGUUGGGUAAAGUAUAGAUUUAGUCCCUCAAGUAAUACUAUUUGUAAGAUUUAAUCCCCUUUCUAUUUUUUGCUCAAUACCAUUCUCCAUCUUUCACAGUUUGUGCGAUCAAGUCCUUUGUAGUCAACCGUUAAUGAACAUGGUCAAUUUGUUGAUGUGACUUUCAUAUACUAUAAAUAAUAUGGUUAUAAUUAAUAUAAAUCCUAGUUAUAAUUAGAAAUCUAACAUUAAUAGAGUGACUUGGAAAAAAAGACAUGAAUUUUGGGAAUAACUAUUACUACAAGUAAAUAUUGUAAUAGACUAUAAUAGCCAUUACGGUAAUGAAACGUGCUCUAAUAAUCUAAAUGCAUGUAAUAAUACAUUGCUACAUAAUGUGUAUGUAACUAAGGGUUAGUAAAUGUGUACAACUAAACGGUAUAUAUUAUGCGGUAAGAUAUUUAGUUCAAAGUAAGACGUUAGGAAAAAAAAAGUAGAAAUUUUCCAAUAAACGGUAUAUAUUAUGUAUUCCCAAAAAAAUAUAUAUUAAUAAAGAUAUGUUCUCAAUACCAUAAUUAUAAAAAUUUUAAUGUUGAAGUAUUAUCUAAACUAAAUUUUUUGACAUGAUACUUGUUAAACUUGGAAGUUAAAUAUUUCAACCAUACAUACAUGACCUUUUUCUUUAUAUAGAGGAUGAGUGAUGAAGUGACUUUUCAGUUACAACAUUUUUAAAUAUUUAUAGAAGAAUGAUAAUUAAUAAUAAAACUAAACAAUUUCACAACUGUAUGUUGGCACAGAAGUGAUAUUAACAUAAUAUAAUUAUUCUUCAUGUCCAAUCUAUCUCUUAGCAAGAUCUUAUUAAUUUAUGGGCAAAAUUGAUCAUAAAAUUAGAUGACUGUUAUUUCUUUGUAACAAAAUCAACAUGAAAUGAAAAGUUAGCAUCAAACAUAUAUAGUAAUAAAAAGAGAAGUGAAAAUCAUGCAUAUAACUUGUUGAGGAAACACAUGAUAAGAAAGGAAUGCAAAACAUCUGUGUACUUCUUGGGAUGGAAUUCUCAUUUUCAUUUUGCUAUCGAGAAUUGUAAACAAGGUACGAAAGAAAAAGAGGGGAAUUCUACAAUUGAGAUUCUUUAGUAUUGAUACAUGCUUUGACGGUAAAUUUGAUAUAUGCAUUUGAAGUUUUGAACUGUAAGAGACAUGUUGUUUCACAUAUAAAGGAUAUGAGUUAGUUUGUUAUUUCCCAUAUAAAGGGCAUGGAAUUUUGAAGUGAUGUUUGCAUGAAAAGAGGCCUUCUAUAUUAAUUUUGAAAGGAUGGGACUUUGGGGAAUUUAAAAGCUGCAAAUUGUGAAGGGAAUAAUUGGAAGAGGAAAAGUUUGGGAAGACCCUCUUGAGGUUCACAUUUUUACAUUGAUUACCACAACCUGUCAUGUCAUGAAGUCGAAAGUGAGAAGCUUAAAUCAUGAUAGUACGACAACAAAUUUGAAAUCAAUACAUUUUUUCUCAUAUAUAGUUGCUUUCAACCCAUUAUUCAAAACAACAAUUUACAAUGUUGCCUAAUUGCAGGGCACUAGUAAAAUUGAGGCCCUUCGUCUUGACUUAGAUAAUGGGAAAGGAAGUUACAUGGCUGAAACAUUUAAAGAAUUGACCAAAUUGAGGAUACUUCAACUGGAAGGUGUGAAUCUCACUGGACAUUUUCAGAACUUGUUUCCUCAACUAAGAUUGCUUGAGUGGAUGGAUCAUCAACCGGAUUUUGAAUUGACCAACUUUCACCUGAAGAAAUUAGUCGUGCUCGAUUUGUCGUGGAGCAAGAUUUCAGAGAACUGGGGAGGAUGGAGUCAACUAAAGGUAAAAUGUAAAGAAGGCAUAUGUCUUAUAAAUAAUCACGUGUUGUCGAUGGACCCAAUUGCACCAAGUUAUACUUAAUUUCUUCUGAAAAUAUAUAUUAUGGAUUUUCUUCUAAGCAUAAGAGGAAUUCAUAGGCACCUAAAUAUGUCAAAAGCUUCUACCCCUUAAUAUUUUAGCAAACUAGUCAUGCUUAACAUCAGACCUACUAAUAAAAACUUUUUAAAUCGUAUUAAUUAACAUCUAUCAAAAAUAUAAUUACAAUAAUGUGCCCAUGUUAAUUUUAAUCUAAAUGGUUUAUGGCUUCUAGUUAAUUUCUCCCCAUGCAAAAGUAUGUAUUUUUAGCAAUUCUUGUUAUAUGUAUGUAUGUAUCUUCUUUCAUAAAAAUGCAAAGACCCUCACAGUGACUUGUGUUUUACAUACAUACUAAAAUUCUAAAUUCAUUGUUACUUUUAAAGUAAUGGAAAUAAUUUGUGAACUACUUUGACUUGUUGCGCACAAUAAUUAUUCAUUAUUAUUGUUGAUUGUUGAAGUCACCGUAUAACACAUUUAUAAAGUACUAAUGUCAUAUGAGUAAUACAACACUUUUUUAUGUCUCGUACAUAUAGCAUUUAAAAAUUGUUUUUCAUAAUUAAAGUAGCCAUUUCUCUUUAAUUUCAUACUAAUUGAAGGAAAACAUGGCACCAAAUGAAUGCAUCUCAUUUCUUCCAUUUGACUUUGUCAUAUGUAAUUUGAUAAUAAAAUUUGUGUAUCUCUAUUCAAUAAAUAACAACAUAGUCAUAACUUUGAAAAACUAAACAUGACAUUUUCUAAGAAAUUUUAUUUGCGAAAAAUUGUAGAUAGCACUCAUACAUCCCUAACAUUCUCUUUGCAAUGAUAUGCUUAAAAACAUUUAUAUGCUAGCUUGGCGAAUACACUAUUGAAAAGAAACAUUUAAAAUUAAAUUAAAUAGCUGUGUAAAAAUAGGGAGAAUGGGAUUAUUUUUUUUGUCCAAUCUCAAAGUGGUAACCUCUUUCUUUCAGAUAGCAACCGAGCUCAAGGUUCUCAACCUUACGAAUUGUGCUUUAAGAACAACUCCCGACUUGUCCGCUUUCAAGAGUUUGGAGAUUUUGAUACUUGAAGCUUGUGAGGAUCUAGAAGAGAUUCAUCCUUCUAUCGAGGACAUCGAGACCCUUGUCUCCUUGAAUGUCAGUAAUUGUUGGGAGCUGAAGAAGCUACCACUAGGAGUAGGUAGAAUGGAAAAUUUGAGCAAGCUUCUCAUAGAUAACACUAAUAUACGAGAGAUUCCUAUUUCAAGAGGUUGUUUGACAAAGCUGGAGACUCUACAUGCCUCAGAUUGUAGACGGCUUGCUCAACUUCCAGAAUCCUGGGGCUCCCUUAUGUCAUUAACUCAACUAGACCUAAAAAGAACAGAAAUUGAGGAAUUACCCGAAUCCAUUGGAUCAUUAAAGAAGCUCAAGACUCUAAAUACCUCUUAUUGUGCAUUGUUAACUUGCCUACCCAACUCAAUAGGCGAUUUAGCAUCUCUAUGUUGCCUUGACCUAAGAAAUUGCCAAAAGCUUGCUCAACUUCCAAACUCCAUAGGCUCCCUCGUGUCUCUAUUGCAAUUGUUGUUGUCGAGAUGCUACUCGUUGAGACAAAUCCCAGGCUCGAUUGGAAAGUUGACAUCAUUGACUGAGCUGCAUUUGCAAUCUACGGCCAUUGAAGAAUUACCUAAAUCUAUUGGUUCAUUGAAGGAGCUCAAGACUCUAGAUGCCUCUUAUUGCACAUCGUUAGCCCGCAUACCCAACUCAAUAGGCAAGUCACUAUCUUUGUCUCGCCUUGACCUAACAGGAUGCCAUAAACUUGCUCAACUUCCAGACUUUAUAGGCUCCCUUGUAUCUCUACAACAGUUGUUAUUGUCGGGAUGCCACUUGUUGAGACAAAUCCCAAACUCGAUUGGAAAGUUGACAUCAUUGACAGAGCCGCAUUUGAAAUCUACGGCCAUUGAAGAAUUACCUGAAUCCAUUGGUUCUUUGAAGGAGCUCAAGACUCUAGAUGCCUCUUAUUGUGCAUCGUUAGCCCGCAUACCCAACUCAAUAGGCAAUUCAAUAUCUCUGUCUCACAUUGACCUAACAGGAUGUCAUAAACUUGCUCAACUUCCAGACUCUAUAGGCUCCCUCAUGUCUCUACAGUGGUUGUCAUUGUCAGGAUGCCACUCAUUGAGACAAAUCCCAUACUCGAUUGAAAAGUUGACAUCACUGACUGAGCUACAUUUGAAAUUUAAAGUUAUUGAAAGAUUACCUAAAUCCAUUAGUCUUUUUAAGGAGCUCAAGACUCUAGAUGGCUCUUAUCAUGCAUCGUUAGCCUAUAGACCCACUUCAAUAGGCAAUUCAACGUCUCCGUCUUGUCUUGUCCUAACAGAAUGUCAUAAGAUUGCUCAACUUCCAGACUUUAUAGGCUCCCUUGUAUCUCUACAACGGUUGUUAUUGUCAGGAUGCCACUCGUUGAGACAAAUCCCAGACUCGAUCGGAAAGUUGACAUCAUUAACUAAGCUGCAUUUGAAAUCUACGGCCAUUGAAGAAUUACCUGAAUCCAUUGGUUCUUUGAAGGAGCUCAAGACUCUAGAUGUCUCUUAUUGCAAAUUGUUAGCCUGCAUACCCAACUCAAUAGGCAAUUCAACAUCUCUGUCUCGCCUUGACCUAACGGAAUGCCAUAAACUUGCUCAACUUCCAGACUCUAUAGGCUCCCUCGUGUCUC